UGCACAUUCUUCAAGGAAAAACUUGAUGCGGAGUAUCAAAGAAAUUUGCUGGCACCCAGCAGGCAAAAUUGAGAAAGUUUCGUAAACAAAAAUAAAACUGUGAAGGGUUUAGAGAAGUUGGACUGGUCUUGUGCUCAGUAAAGUCGCUGUUUCGAGUUACAAAACAGAUUCGGAAGUAAAGAGAAAGUAAUCAAUUUUUUGUUGCAAGCGAAAGACUAACGAAAGUAGUAAUGAAUUCAGCUAUGGUUGCAGCAGCGUCAGGCGGAAGGAGGCCAAAAAAGCCAUCCGAAAAGGCAAAGAUGAAGGACAGAAAAGACUCAAUGAAGCAGGGUGAUCGAAACAGUCUUACCAUACGCGAGACUCCUUCACCGAGGUUAUCCCCGAAAGUAAAGAAAAGUGAAAAAGCCAGCUUGCCAAAAGAAAUGAAUAAAAAGUAAUCAAAUCCCUUCUUAAUGGAUUUACUUGCAAAGGCAGAAAUUGAUCAAAGCGAAAGCUUUUUGGAGCCAAAGAUCCAUGUGGCAAUGGAACAUGGUUUGCUGACAGGUGGGACACAUUGAGAGCAAAGAGAGGCUUCCUCAAGAAAGCAAUUGUAGCAACAUUCUGAUUCAAUUUAAGUGUUUAUGCUUGGUUAGAAUACUUUGAGAACUGUUUGAUUGUUCAUUUAAAGCACAUUGUGCGCUUUUUUUAAAAGCUGCCCUCGAUAAUAAUAUGUUUAAAAUACAACAGCUUUAUACGCUUGAUAUGUAGUUAUUUAGCUGAAUUAGCAUUUCAUCAGCAUUUCAUCAAUCUACUAUUGUAUCUAUCUGUAGCGACACAGGUCAGACUUGCCAUGUAAUUAUCUAUUUAUCUAUUUCUAAGCACAUUUGAAAAGGGCUAUCAUGCAACAAGAGACGAAUUUGCAUUUGAAGCAGUAGCGUAACGAGGGGGGGGGGGCAAAGGGGUAGCUGCCUUUCUCUGAUAAAAACGUAAUUGUUCAAUAAAGUUAGAUAUAUCAGAGGGUUGAUAUUUUAGGCAAAAAUUAUUAUUGGGAUGAGAUCUUUAGUAAAACGAGAA